GCCUCCCCAUAUAAACAGUCUCUAUGUGAGAGUCCUAGUGAGUCUCUGAGUCCAGGAGAAUAGACAAGAGCAGCUUCCUCGUUCAUCUUCACCGUCAACCAUGUUCCCUGUCUCUCUGCUGCUGCUGCUGCUGCUGCUGGCAGCUGCUUCCUAUGUGCAUGGUCUUGAACUCAGCCAGCCAGGCUCAAUGGUUGUGAAGCCAGGAGAGAUUCUGACUCUUACCUGUAAGGUGUCUGGCUAUUCUGUCAGUGACAGUAGUAUCAGCUAUGCAACUGGAUGGAUUCGACAGCCUGCAGGGAAAGCACUGGAGUGGAUUUUCCACAUAUGGGAUAACGGAGAUACCUACAAAAAUAAUGCACUAACAAACAAGUUCAGUAUCUCUAGAGACACCCUCAGCAACUCAGUAACUCUAAAAGGACAGAAUCUGCAGACUGAGGACACAGCAGUAUAUUACUGUGCUCGCCACCCUCCACAUGGAUACAAACCUACAGCAGACAUGUACAUAAACCCUCUCCUCACUAGAUAGAGAUGAAUAUGUGUAAACCUGGAGGGGGCGAUCUUAAUCAAAGAAAACUUUAAAUAAAAUGCCAUUGACUGUAGAAACGUAGAGGACACUGGGGAGUGACAACAGGGACUGUUAUGAAAUCAGUUAUGCCGUCUGUGGAAUGGGACGUACCUGAAAUUUUUAUAAAUAAUUACAUAGUUUGCUGUUAUGGGAGUCAGGUGGCUGAGCGGUUAGGGAAUUGGGCUAGUAAUCCCAAGGUUGCUGGUUCGAUUCCCGACUGUGCAAAAUGACUUUGUGUCCUUGGGCAAGGCACUUCACCCUGCUUGCCUCUGGGAGAAUGUCCCUGUACUUACUGUAAGUCGCUCUGGAUAAGAGCGUCUGCUAAAUGUAAAUGUUAUACUGUACAUGAAUGGAUCAUUUAGUUUACUUGUAAAGUAACACCUGUAUUGUUGUCCAGCCAUUGAUAUAAAAGUAGGAGAGUGAAAUCAUACAUUUUUUAUCAUUACAUUUGAUGGUGGGAAUCAGAGAGGAGGAUAAAUGAAGGUGAAGAAUUAAUAUGAAUGUUGUUGUGGCUAUGGCAACCUGCUCAGCUACACACAGACACACUCUGCAGUACAUCAUAUGUGAAGGACAUGACUACA